rnacentral:lncRNA from 1 species
AGAAAAAUCCAGCCUGAAAUUCAUAUAGAGUCUCAAGGGAUCCCAAAUAGCCUGAACAAUCUUAAAAACAAAGAACAAAGCUGCAGGACACACAUUCCCUGAUUUAAAACUUAUCACAAAGCUACACAAUGAGACAGUGGUGCUGGCUCAGAGGAAGACAUAUAGCCCAAUGGGGCAGACAACCUGGAAAUAAACCCUCACAUCUAUGGUCAAGCGAUUUUCAACAAGGAACUGAAUGUAAGAGUUAAAGAUGUAAAACUCUUACAAGAAAUCAAAGGGUCAAAAUACAAAACUUUUAUAUAUGAAAGCAUAGUGUCAAGGAAGUGAGGCCAACCCAUAGAAUGUGAAAAAAAUACUUGCAAAUCAUACAUCUGAUAAGAAAAUAAUAACUAAAAUAUAUAAAGAAACCUAGAUGCAAUAACAAGAAGACAAAAACCCCAUUUGAAAAAUGAUUUAAGGACCUAAAUAGCUAUUCCUCCAAAGAAGACAUACAAACAUCGAACAAGCACAUGAAAAGAUGCUCAACUUCACUGCCAUCAGGAAAAUGCAAAACUGUUACCACUCCUAGUUACAUACAUGUUACCAAUGGGUAUGUGUCCAAAAUAAUGGCAAACGGACUCAGAUGACAUGCACAAGUGUGCUCACAGCAGCCCUCCUCCCAGUAGCUAAGCGGUGGGAACAACCCGGUGCCCAUCAGCAGAUGAACUGAUGAACAAAAUGGGGUAAAUCCACACAAUGGAAUAUUAUUAAGCCUUAAAAAUGAAUGGAGCUCUGAGAUACACCACAGCAUGGAUGAACCUUGAAGACAUUUGCUAAGUGAACAAAGGCAGACACAGGACAAAUACUGGAUGAUCCCACCUAUAGGACAUGCCUAGAAUAGGUGAAUUCUCGAGACAGAAAGUAGAAUCAUGUUCACCAUGGGCUGGGGAGGGGAAGUGAGCAAGUGUUUAGUGGGUACAGAGUUUGCUAUGAAAAACAGUUGUGAAAAUGAAUAGUGGUGAAGAUUGCAUAACAUCAUAAAUGUACACUUAAAAUGUUGAAAAGGCUAGAUAUUAUGUUAUGUAUAUUUUACCACAAAAAAAGGAAUGAAGUGCUGAUGCAUCUACAACAUGGAACCUGGCAACAUGAUGCUCGGUGAAAGAAGCAGGUCACAAAAGACAGGUACAGACAACCCCAUUUAGAUGCCCAGAGAGACAAACCCACAGAGACAAAGAGCAGGUCCCACAAGGGGGUGGGGGCUGCAGGGACACAGGUGGGUACACAGCUUCUUUGGGGGCAUGAUGGAAAUGCUCCAACAUUGAUUAUGGCGACAGUUGUUCAGUUUUCUGAAUAUACCAACAACCAUAGAAUUAUACACUUUAAAUGUAGGGAAUCUAAACAAUAGCUCAACAAAGCUAUUAUUUUUUAAAGGAAAAAGAUAUGCCAGGUUUAUCCUCGAUGCUUACCUAUUCCCAGUGGACCCCAUGUACGUGGAUCUCAUGCCCAAUCCAAGGAGCAGCAGCUAGGACUAAAGUAAGAUGUGGGAGCAUAUGCUCCUUGGAAUGUGGUGUUUUAUUUACAUGUCCCUGUUCUCUCCUAAUAUUACAAUACAGUCAUAUGAGACGUGGUGCCUAAUCAGUACUUGGUCUGUUAUUAGUUGUAGGCAGAGAAAAACCUUUCCUGUUUGGAAAGACCCUGAGAGGCCUGCACCAUCUCUGACCCCGGGAUAAUGGCCUCAUCUCAUGACAACGGCCUAAACCCACUAACACCCCUUCCAGGGCAGGACCACCCACAUUUCCAAAGUCUGUCUCUCAUCUGUCACAGGGAGGGUUAUUCUUUGUUGAAAAUCGAAUGAACUAAUCAAAUUCUCUCACUCUUUCUCAGUUUCAAAAUGAGAAAUCCACUACAGACUCCAGGAUCCAACACUGUCUCACCGAGGCUUUCUAGCUCAUGUAUCCAGAGGGCCAGGUGCCACCCAGCCCAGCCAGAGCCCUGCCCUGACCCUGACUCUGACCCUGACGUGGCCUCAGGGCGGGGAGCCCGGCUCUUCCUGAGGUCAGGCGUGCGGGCCCAUCUUCUUGCUCAUCACUCAGCUAUCUCCCUCCCUAAUGAGCACAGGGACCCACAAACCUUCAUGGGAAGCUGCUCAGUUGCCUGGGGACCCCAAGAAAUCGCUGCCUGGGUUUUCCUGAUACUUGCUCACACUGAAUACACCCACCAGUGCAGUGACUAAGCUCCCAGAGAAGCCCUGUCCCCAGUCCCGGCACAGCGCCGGCUGAACUGGCAUUUUCUCCUGCCCUCCCCCCAACCCUGGGCUGGGGGAAGUGGGGGGAGCCUGGAUGCAGGGACCAACCACAGGGAUGCUGCUUGUCCUGAUGAGGAGUCACUGUGGGCUUUUCCCCCAGAUCCAACUCUGAACAGGCAACAAGAACUUCUCCUAGUUCCCUCAUUCCUGUUCCGGGGAGACAGCGGCUGGUUUUAAUGAUCCUCAAAACCCCACAUUUCCCCAGAGGGUCCCUGAAAGAAGUCACCAGAACCUGCUGCCCAUUACACAACUCACAUAGAUCCUGGAGUCAGUGGCUUGGAGCCUUUCCUCAGUAAUCCAGGUGAGGGUCCCCCAUUGCCCUGCCAGUACCCCCCAAGUGGACCUGGGUUUCCCAGUUAGGCUGAUACACGGGCCAGCACUUCAGAUACAGGCACAUUACAGCAAGCGGCCUCCAGUCUCUUAGCGUGAUAGAAUCUAACAAGGGGCAUGAAUCGACCAAAAGAAAAAAAGAAAAUCUGGAAUCAGACUCCAGUGCCGGACAAAAGAUAAGCUUUUACCUUAAACCAAAAGCUGCCGUUGAAACUUGAGAAGACAGCAGAGCAGACAGCAGAAGGCUGCACUCUGAACUGUUAGGACCACGGCGGGGGCGCAGGGCGGGGUGGGGGCGGGGGCACGAGGAGAGGGAGCAGUCAUGUGCACGGCCACGCGCCUCCACAGACUCCAGACUGGCCGAGGCCCAAGGCACAGCCUAAACACAGAACAGGCUCCUCAAACAAGCUUCACCUGUGGGGACUCGAGCGUCCUACCCAGCAGUGCCUCUGCAGAAUUGCAGAUGGUUCUCACAUCCAUUUAACACGAGACUGAGAAUUGGGUGGUACAGGAAUUGCUCUGAGUUCCUGAUUUUUAUCAGGGACUGGAUGUACAAACAUCCCCUGUUUUCCAGGUGCUGUUCUGUAUAGGGGAGCCGUCUCUGACCUCUCGGGAGUAUGCACCCUGAGCUUGUUUUCUAGGAAGCCUCGAAGUACCCAGGGCUGUCUGCAUCAUCUUACCUGGUCUCCUUGGAAACCAUGACUUGCAGAACCUUCCUUUUCAGUAUAAAUUCUGCAACACCUCUUUCCCUGAUAUUCAGCACAGAGGCGUGAGCAGAACCAAUGUGUACAAAGAAGAACUAGAGGUGGCCUAUUGUAAAGACAGAUAUCAUGCAUAUAUACAUGCAUGGAUACAUACAUACACAAUUGGAAAGGAUUCACUUGGAUUGCAGAGUUUCCACUGCUAAUUUCAGUGGGUAUUUAUAUCAAAUUUUAAAACAUGCAUAUUCAAAUAAUGGCACCAUCACUAUGUGAUCCUGGACAAUCUUCCCAAGCACUGGGUGCUUUUCCAUGAAAAGGCAGGGAGAAGGACUAGACCAACAUCAAA